AGCUUUUCGAAUCCGUGCUAAGAUUUCGUCAGACACCAACCCAUUAGGGCUGAUCAGACUUCCAAGUUGUCGACGCG
rfam:Schistosoma haematobium scaffold685_19, whole genome shotgun sequence.